rnacentral:misc_RNA from 1 species
CUCCGAUAUUCGCCCCGCCCCGCCCCAUUACGAGGAAUGUUUCAAUUGCAAUAGAAUACAUUUUCCAAUCGCUUUUCCGGCGAAGUAGAGACGAUAAAUCGGCGACGGAGUAGAAAGGAAUGACGGAAACGGAGAACAAAAUUGCCAUCGGAAAAGAGAGAAACACCGCCGAUCACUGCCGUAUCAGCAAUAGUGAAAGUGUGAAUAAUCAGGGGGAAGCCGGAAGUGAAGGCAAAAAGGGAAGUUCAUCAUCUUCAUCAUCAUUGAAGAAUCCAGGAAAAUCAUGCAAAGGAUGUCUAUAUUACUCGUCUACUUAUAAAUCCAAUUCGCUGAAUCCUCUAUGCCUCGGACUUAGCCGUUCUAUUCCUCAAGUACCUCAAUAUAUUGUUGAGAAAACUGAGAUGCAAG